CUUAUACAACUAUCAACAACGGAUCUCUUGGCUCUCGCAUCGAUGAAGAACGCAGCGAAAUGCGAUAAGUAGUGUGAAUUGCAGAAUUCAGUGAAUCAUCGAAUCUUUGAACGCACCUUGCGCUCCUUG
rnacentral:rRNA from 1 species